rnacentral:pre_miRNA from 1 species
CCUGACUUCAACUUCUCCCUCUGUCCUAAAAUAAAUACAGUUUGUUUUAUUUUAAAAAAAUUGUGAUUAGUAUUUAUAUUGUUAUUAGAUGAUAAAACAUAAAUAAUACUUUACGUGUGACUAUUUUUAAAUUAUUUUAUAAUUUUUUAAAUAAGACGAACGGUCAAACGUUGGACACGGAUUCUCACGGCUGCAUUUAUU